rnacentral:rRNA from 1 species
AACGAACGCUGGUGGCGUGUCUAUACAUGCAAGUCGAGCGAGGCAGCAAUGCCGAGCGGCGAACGGGUGAGUAACGCGUAAGCAAUCUGCCCCAUAUCAGGAAAUACCCGUGCCAACGCGCGGUUAAUGUCCAGGAGAGUGGCCCUCUGCAUGGAGGGUUGACUAGAGAUUUAUCGGUAUGGGAUGAGCUUGCGUCCGAUUAGCUAGUUGGCGGGGCAACGGCCCACCAAGGCGACGAUCGGUAGCCGGCCUGAGAGGGUGAUCGGCCACAUUGGGACUGAGAUACGGCCCAGACUCCUACGGGAGGCAGCAGUAGGGAAUAUUGCACAAUGGGGGAAACCCUGAUGCAGCAACGCCACGUGUGGGAAGAAGCAUUUCGGUGUGUAAACCACUGUCAUGAGGGAAUAAGGCCCGCCUUCGGACGGGAUUGAAUGUACCUUGAGAGGAAGCACCGGCAAACUUCGUGCCAGCCGCAGC